GGGCUCAUGGUCAAAAGGGAAGACACCAGCUCGGCAGGCUGGCCAAUUCUCUAGGGACCUGGCUGGGUUCGAUUCCCAGUGGGUCCAC
rnacentral:tRNA from 1 species